rnacentral:rRNA from 1 species
AUGCAAGUGCAGGCGGCUGCUACCAUACGGCUUUGUCUUGCGAAUCAGGUCAUGUAUCAUGUCAUGGAUGAAGAUUCUCCUAGGAAAAUUUGGGACAAGUUGGAAAGUCGUUAUAUGUCCAAGUCAGCGACCAAUAAGCUGUAUUUGAACAAAAAGUUCUAUGGGCUGAAGAUGCAGGAGGGGUCGGAUCUUGUGGAGCAUGUGAAUGCCUUAAAUCAGUUGGUCAUGGAUCUAGUGUGUCUUGAUGUGAAGAUUGAGGAAGAGGAUAAGGCACUACUUCUUCUUGUUUCGUUUCCACCGUCCUAUGAGCAUUUGGUCAUUACAUUGACACAUGGAAAGAUAACCGUCAAUAAUGAGUAA